GAUCCUGACCAUUCACUGUUAGACAGCAAACUGUUCUGCGGGCUGUGCAAAUCGCAUAAAACACCUUAACGGGGUUUCAAAGCCAUCAGUUUAGUAUAGGUCACUGAGUUAAUCAAGUGUUUAGGCUGAUACUCCUAGUUGAACGGACAAUGGCCCCAAUUGUGCUUUACCAUUUCCCAAUUUCGGCACCCUCUAGGUCGGUUCUGCUGGUGAUGCGCAACCUUGAACUAGACGUUGAGAUUAAAAUUCUCAAUCUUAUGGCUGGUGAGCAUAUGAAGCCAGAUUUCCUUGAAAUAAAUCCCCAGCACACAGUGCCGACUAUCGUUGACGAUGACUACAUUCUGUGGGAAUCCAAGGCAAUCGUAACGUAUUUAGUGGAGCAGUACAAACCGGACUGUGAACUAUAUCCCGCUGAUCCGAAAACGCGUGGUAUCAUAAACCAGCGUUUGUAUUUUGACUCGACUGUUUUGUGGGCACGAGUAUUUUCGGCAAUAGCUCCAAUAAUGCGCCAAGGGGCCACCAGCAUACCGCAAGACAGAAAGGACGCUAUUAAGGAUGCACUGAAAACUUUGAAUGAUUACCUCGACGGCCAGGACUGGGUUGCAGGGGACAAUUGCUCUGUAGCUGAUCUGUGCCUGCUUGCUUCUGUUUCAACCCUUGAUAAACUCGGAGUUGAUCUGAACCAGUUUGCGAACAUCACAGCUUGGUACGAUCGCUGCAGUACUCUACCUGGCUACGACGAAAACAACGAAGGCGCUACCGGUUUUGGUAACGCCAUAAAAUCAAAGCUAGAAGAGCCAUUUUAGGCGUAUUUCACGUUAACUCGACGUUUACAUUUAUUAGUCAAUUUUAAAGCUAAUGACAAAACCAACAAUAUUGAUUCAAACUUAACUGAAGAAACAUUUUGAGAACUAUCGGAAGGUGACCAUCUGCAAUAGUUCACAUCAAUCAGACCUGCAAAAAUAACUGUUCCGUGAAUCAAUAAUUUAUUAUAAGAACCAAUACUCACACGUACCUACGAUGUCCAUAUAAUAACAGUUAAAACAGCAAAGAGAAUACUCAUAUAUGUUUCUCUACCGCGAGGAAUAAAAUCCUGAAUUUGUUU